UCUCCGUAGGUGAACCUGCGGAGGGAUCAUUACAGAGUUCUCGCCCUCGCGGGUAGAUCUCCCACCCACUGUUAUCGUUACUGUGUUGCUUUGGCGGGCCGCCGGGCCCCGCUCGUCCGCCCGCUCCGGCUUGCGCCCGCCCGCCAUAGGCCCCACACACUCUGGCUGCUAAUGUCGUCUGAUUACUAUCUAAUAGAUCAAACCUCCAACAACCGAUCUCCUGGUUCUUGCAUCGAUAACGAACGCGACCGAACGGAAAAACACCCGACUGACAUCCAC
rnacentral:misc_RNA from 1 species